CGUCGUGCGUAUGACCAUACCAUACCACUGAUGCCGGGCGCGCAACCAGUUAAUGUCAGGCCAUAUCGGCACAAGCCGGAGCACAAGACAGAAAUUGAGCGGCAAGUAGCUGAACUGCUGCAGUCAGGGGUCAUUCAGCGCAGCCACAGCAGCUUUUCGUCGCCUGCGAUCUUGGUCAAGAAGAAGGACGGGACGUGGCGUCUGUGCAUUGACUACCGCCCUCUCAAUGCCAUGACGCGCAUUAGCAAAUUCCCUGUCCCUGUAAUCGAGGAUCUGCUUGAUGAAUUACAUGGAGCGAAGUGGUUCUCCAAACUUGACCUGCGCGCAAGAUAUCAUCAGAUCCGGCUGGCAGAAGGGGAAGAAUUCAAGACCGCGUUUCAAAUUCACUUGGGCCAUUAUGAGUUUAAAGUGCUCUCCUUCGGUCUAGCAGGCGGGCCGGCAACAUUCAUU
rnacentral:rRNA from 1 species